rnacentral:lncRNA from 1 species
CUCAUGUAUGCUUGGCUUGUGCAAACACACGGAGACCCAGCCUCAUGAGCUGUGGACCUUGGAGGGGACCCGAUUGCCCUGGUGUCUGGGAGGUGACGGCUCUACUGCUCUUGGCAGCUGCAGAGAAGGAGCAAGCCCUUACCCAGCCUGUGUAAGCAAUGAUUCCUCCUCUGGGAACCCCAGUGGCCGGCGAUGUGGCCUCCAGGCUCAGGGAUAACCAUCUUGCCUAAAC